AACGUUUCGUUGUUUACAAUACAACAUCUUCAGAGCAAUCUAAAUGAAUUUACAGGGUAUGGUAUACAAAAACGGUUACAUAAUUUGAAAGAACAAAUGAAUAGAAAGAAAGAAAAACAACUGAUCAGUAACUAGUUAAUAAGUAAAGAUUAAUGUUAAGUGCAGGGUUAGUAUAGUUAAGGUUAAUACUACAUAACUAAAAUAACUCAAGAGGGGUAGAUCUAAUAUUAGCAUUAAGGACAGGGUUAAGUUGAGAAAUUAAUAGGCUUUCACGGAUAAGAAGAUCCCACUCAGAAGUGCCUGAUGAUAGAAUUUUGAAAUCAGAAGCGGAGACUGGGUGUUUGUGCAUGUGUUUGUGAGCGAGUAUACCAGACAUGGUUGAGAUAGAGCGUUCUUUUCCAGUCAAAGGCGAGACUCCCAUAUGCUCUGAGAUACGUGUGUGAAUGUGUCGGCGUGUUUGGCCAACAUACAAUGCGCUACAGCAUUGACACGUGAACAGAUACACAACAACAACACAACACAACACAACAACACAACACAUUUUUAGACAGUGGCAUCGUGUAAAAGUAUUUAAUAAUUAGUAUAAAAACUUUCCACCACUAAAACAAUCUCGUACUAUUGCCACUAAAUACAACCUCUGAAAUACACGCACAGAGAUGUAAAUAAGCCGCCUUCCACGUAACCUGCGUGGCAAUACGCUUAGUUUAGGCAAUACGCUUUUCCGCGCAAGAGUAGUUUUAAAACCGAUGAGUACGACGAGCAAGAAUAAUUAAUGUGUUUAUGCAAUGAAAUUUCACAGCCAGUUUUAUGAAUGCAUUGUAUAGAAAAUUCAAAAUGAUGGGCAAGAUACUUGCCAUCUUAGCUUGAUUCUUUCUCGAGAAAUUUACAGUCGGGUGUCAAAUCGGGUGUUCUCUUGCGCGUUACAUUGCAGAGCCCACGCAAUAUUGAGCAACUUGCAACUGUUUCGGGAAGAUUGACGUCCGGUUACAUCAGAAAUUCAACAUUUUCGUAUUUAAACUGCCUGAGAGAAAAUGCUUCCCACUCACACAGCAGUAUUGUAUUAAAAUAUGAAUUUGCAUUGGAAAAAAGUGAAGCCUUUUGGAAAAAAGUGAAGCCUUUAGAGAAUAUGCUGAGGAACCUUCACUACACACGUUUCCAAAUUGAUCAAGCCAGAUUGACAAUCAACAUUGCAAUGUUGCAGAGCAAUAUUGCAAUGUAUUCUGCAAGAGAACACUCGUUUUGACUGUAAGUAACAAUGUUUGAUAUACAAAUUCUCCUCACUGUGCGGUCAAAUUGCAAAAUGGCUACCUAAAAAACCCUUUAGAACUCUUAUAUAGGGGGGGGGGGAGGGCACCCCUUAUAAAUCAUUGAUUCAAAUUUGUCAACAUGUAACAUAUAUUUGUUGACAUAACACACGGUAUAUUAUGAUUUCGAUGCACAAUAUCGUUA